rnacentral:rRNA from 1 species
UACGUAGGGGGCAAGCGUUUGUCCGGAAUCAUUGGGCGUAAAGAGCGUGUAGGCGGCCAGAUAAGUCCGCUGUGAAAUCUCGAGGCUCAACUUCGAGCUGUCGGUGGAAACUGUCUGGCUAGAGUCCGGAAGAGGAGAGUGGAAUUCCUGGUGUAGCGGUGAAAUGCGCAGAUAUCAGGAAGAACACCCGUGGCGAAGGCGGCUCUCUGGGACGGUACUGACGCUGAGACGCGAAAGCGUGGGGAGCGAACAGG